rfam:Cavia porcellus supercont2_11 genomic scaffold, whole genome shotgun sequence.
GGGGAUUUAGCUCAGUGGCAUAAGCGCCUGCCUUGCAAGCAGGCAGGCAGUUGUGAGUUUGAUCCCUG